CUAUACCCCACAUUUCUUCAUUUUCAAAAACAAAGCUCUCUUCUGCAGAUGAUUCAGCAAGCCUCAUAAUUCAGGAAACAAAGGAGAAGGGUGAUAUGCCUUUAAAAAAUUAAAUUAUUAAGGACCACUAUAAAGAUUCAGCUACAUUCUAGGGAUUUGAUGCAUGCAAAACAAACAAACAAACAAAAAAGAAACAAAAUACAGAUCACGGGUAACAUAUAAGAAAGCAUAUGAAGAUCAAUAAAUAUGAUGAUCCUGCCAUCUGCCUAUGUUGUGAACCUGAAUAAGGUGGGCUGAGAGAGCCUGACUUCAAAAAAAGUUCAAUUCGGAAGUUUCUGGUGAUCAGAAGGGUCAGGAGCUACCCCCUGCCCUCCCAGAAGGCAGAGCAACUGAGGACAGAAAGGCACUACAAAGUCAACCAAAAUCUAAGUAGGCCUCUGUGAAAGGAUAUUUGGUGAACCAGUGAACUUCGUGCAGAUGCCUGAGAACAACACAAAUCUGCUGAUAAAAACAACAUAUUAUUCAGGGAGUAGUUUGAAUGCAUGACCAGUUAGCAAAAUAGCAACAGAGACUCCUUUUCAGGGCCUAUGAUUUCCACAGUCAUGGGAUUUUGACCAGUUUACACUACCAAGUAUGAAAUCCCACCUGUGGACCAGGUCUGGUAUACAAACGGAAAGUGGCUAAUUUGUUUCUAGAAUUAUCAGUAAUGAAAAAGAUAAAAGGUUUAUUACUAGAAUAAAACAAUUUGAAUAAACAUUAAAAUUUUUGUUAAUCUCUUCUCUGUGACAAAAUAUGUGAGACAAUUAAUAAGGAAGAAAGUUAUUUUAGCCAAUGGUUUCAAAGGUUUCAAUUCAAGGACAGGGGUCAUUAUUUCUAUAGGCCUGUGACAGUUUAGUACAUCAAAGAGAGGCAGACAGAUAGCCAUCUCCUUCUGGCUGUCAACGCAGCUCAGGGAGCAAAAACUUUCCCAGAAUGUACAAGCCCUAGAGUCAACCACCAGAACCAAGAGGAAAACACUAUCCCUGAUAUUAUUCUCAUUCUGGACUUGAAUAUAAGAGAAAGCCAUCUGUAAAGGCAAGGACAGAGCUAAGAGUGAUGGCACAUACUUAUUCCCAGAACUUGGGAGAAUCCCGAAUUCAGUGUCAUGUCAUCUAUGUGGCAACCUUGAUGUCAGCUUUGGCUCCAUGAGACUCUGUCUUAAGAGCGAAAUAAAAGUUAAAGAAAAAAAGAUGAGGACAACAGGAUUCUGAAAAGAAGGAUCACAAUUGUAAAGGUCUUGAGAAAGUGAGUCUUUGAGGUAUGUAAGAAAUAUUUUUCAUGGACAACGAAAAACCAUCGACAUUUUUCAAAUGCUACCCAACAGGUCAGGUGAGAGCUAUGAAGUCUAGAGUCUACUUUAAGAACAUCCAAAAUAGAAUGCAUCAUACAGGCUGCUGGAGGAGAAAAGGCAUCAACCAUCACUGAACCCUGCAUGCUACAAUACUUACCUGCAUGGCAAGAUAUGCCCACCAAGGAAAUAGUGACAUGAUAAUAAUGGUGUGUGUGUGUGUGUGUGUGUGUGUGUGUGUGUGUGUAACCAAUCACUUUAUGAUUGAAUAUGAGGCCUUCUCCAGAGGACCGAUUUCAUACUAUAAAACUAGUCAAAAGCCCAUGACCAGGAUCUCACAGGCUGUAGGUGGAAACCUACUGUUGUUACUUUGUUAAAUGGUCAUGCUACCAAAUUGCCUUUUAUAUAUUUACCUUUAUACCAAUAAGUUUGUUUUGCCCUCAGAUUUUAUCAUAGAAGCAUUUUUCUGCAUGUAUUUCUCCAUAUGUCAGGUGUUAGUAACUGUGAGUGCUCAGCUACAGGUAAAUCACCCGUACCAAUCUCCCUCAUCCUUCAUUAAGAGAACAUCGAGAGAGGGACAUCAAAAGGGGACAGAAGGAAUGUAAGGGCUGUGGGGUGGGAAGCAGAGCCUUGAAAUGCUGACUUGGCUCAUGGAACAUGGCAUGUCUGUUCACACAUGAACAUGGUUACUUGCACAAGAUCAAGUCAGUCAAAAUUUCAGCAUGGAUUGGAAAGGAAACCCCAAGGCUCCUUGGCAGAGAAGCUAUUGGUAGGUGAUGACUGCUGGGGGAGGAAGAGUCACUCUGCUUCAGGGAUUUGGCCGCUGGUAGGUUGCCCAUGUUCCAGUGGGUGGCCCUAUACACAUGUGCACAUGGCCAGCACAGUUACUGAUAACGAAAAAGGUUGAGAGGGAGACAGGUUGAGAGUUGUCUGGGGAAGUUGUAGGGAGGCAGUGGUGGGUGAAAACGAUCAAAAUACAUUGCAUAAAUGUGUAAGAUUUUCAAAAAAGGUGAAGACAUUGUUCUUAAAAAGAAAUGGAAAAAUUCUUUGAAAUAAAAUCCUCUCCUCCAGAUAAUAAUGACAAUAAUGUUGGAUGAGUAUGUAAAAUAACAACAACACAGGGACAGUAACACUUUGUUUCUCAUUGAAACAAUGGGAAUAGCAGACAACAGACAUGUGUAAGUAGCAAAGUAAAAACCAAAAUCAAUAUAAAAAGAAAUGACCCACUCAGAGAGCCACAUCCAGUGAAACUAUAUAUUUAGAAAUAAAAGAAAAUGGAAUCUUCCAGAUGAAUGGAAACUGGGGAAAUGAACCACCAGCAAGCCUGUGUGUGGUAAGAGAAGUUACUUAGACUGAAGAAAUGACAGGAUGAGACUGUAGACCUGGAGAAAAAAAAAAGAAAGAAAGAACAAGCAUGACAAAUGCACAAGUCAGUGCAGGCCUUCCUGAUGUUUUCGUCGUCUUUAAAAUACAGCCAAAAAUUAGAAAUUUCUAAGGAUUAAUAGACAUUUUUGGGAAUUUCUGACAUAGAUGUAAGGAACUAAACAAGAAAUCUUUAUCACAGCACAGAAUUUGAAAUUUCAGAAAACUGGGGCUAAAGAACACUGUAUUUUUUCAAAGAGCAAAAAAAAUCCUAUAUACAGGAUACACAGAAUUAUAACGUGGUCUUUCUACAACAAUACUGGAAACAAGACAAGAUUGCCUUCAGACACUUUAAGGAACUAAUUUCUGACUUGUCUGUGUGUGGAAGGGCACAAAAACAUUUGCUAUUCAAAGUUCAAAAGGAAAUUACCUAUGUGAACACUCACUCCAACUAUGUUCCAGGUGCUUCAAGGAAGCAAGCAUAGAAAAUAAGAAAUAUUUGACAUAAGGGAACAAAGAGAUACCUCGGGAAUAUGAAAUGCAGAAAUAAAAAUAGACUCUUCAGAGAGAAAGCAACUAAAGGAUAAACUAUUUUGGUCGCUCCUUAAACUAUUUAGUGGGGGAACCCUUUAAAUUUGGCCACCCGAAAGCUUCCAGAAAGUCUGUUAACUCACUUGUUGGCAGUCCGAGCUGCAUACUCCUCCUUUUCUUCUCUUUUCCUUGACACAUAUCAGGGAAUCAGCAGAAAAUGGAGCAGAAAAUGGAAAACAGAGGCAUCAGAGUUUAAGGAUUGUUGUUCCAGUUUGGGCCUGGCCAGGAAGAGGGCAUAUCCAAGUAGCAGGCAUAAAGAGACUGAGGGAAUGUUGAAACAAUUUCAGUACACGAGAGAGCACGUUGUUAUCACCAUCAUUGUGCGAACAGGCCAACUGUCUGGAACCUUCCCGGGUGCAUGUGGGACACCUUUUGAAAUCUAUUCCCAAAGGAAUCAGCUUGCACCCCACAGUUGUUGAGUCUUGCCUUGGAAUGAAAAAUCCUGGUCUAUGUCCCAACUGAGUGUAAACCCCUAAAGAGAGGUCUCCCCAAGGGCAAUUAUAGCACUGGAAACAUCUGAGGGCAAAAGUGUAAAACGUCUGGUGCUUGAGAAAGAAAAAAAACACCAGCAUGACAUAAGCCAAACUACUCACUGAAGCUACACUGUAAUCAAAGAUGAAGCCAAGAGGAUAUGAGUCAGGAAGCCAGAAGCAGCCCGCACAGGCUAGCCUUUGUACCCCUCUGCUACUCCUAUGCCUUGCCGUUAAUUACCUCUCAGGCUUCAAGGUGGCCUUCAGCCAGUCUCUACAUGUGACCUGAUAAAACAAGACAGCCUUCGCUACUGCAACUGGUCUGGAGCUGCACUUGACAUUUAUCAGCUCCUUCCACCACCAAUAUUAGAUUUCCCUCACGAUCCUUCGGCACCUUUUCUAGCCUAAUAAGGUGACUCAGACCUUCCAUGCUGAGCAGUAUAAGCCCAUGGCUGCCUCGCUCUUGUCAGGCCACAUUAGCUACAGUUACUGAUCGUAUUUUUCACUGGAUAUGGGGAUGCCAAGAGAGUCUCAUGAUUAUUUUUGUCAGUAACAUAAAUAUUACUUGUACAAACUAGUGGAAUUCACUGUGAUACUUCUUACACACAUACAGCAUUUAUGCAUCCAUCUGCCUUCUAGCCUUAGUCCCUUCUCCUUCUUGACCAGUUCUUAGAAACAACUCUUCUACUUCCAGAUCUAGUUCUUGCUGUUUUUGAUCUCACGUUUCCAGAUUGAAAAGAAAAUACAACACUUGUUUUGUUUGUU